AUUGAACGCUGGCGGCAGGCCUAACACAUGCAAGUCGAACGAGUGGCGGACGGGUGAGUAAUGUCUGGGAAACUGCCCGAUGGAGGGGGAUAACUACUGGAAACGGUAGCUAAUACCGCAUACCAUCGGAUGUGCCCAGCUGGGAUUGGCUAGUAGGGGGGGUAACGGCUCACCUAGGCGACGAUCCCUAUCUGGUCUGAGAGGAUGACCAGCCAAACUGGAACUGAGACACGGGCCAGACUCCGACGGGAGGAAGCAGUGGGGAAUAUUGACCAAUGGGCGCAAGCCUGAUGCAGCCAUGCCGCGUGUAUGAAGAAGGCCUUCGGGUUGUAAAGUACUGUCAGCGAGGAGGCGUUACUCGAAGAAGAAGCAUCGGCUAACUCCGUGCCAGCAGCCGCGGUAAUUC
rnacentral:rRNA from 1 species